rnacentral:lncRNA from 1 species
GAAAAGAGAUCUCUGUUGCAUUCCUUUGUUAGUCUCCAUCAUGUCAACCCACAGAGUGGUCAUACUGUGCAAUGUUAGAUGAUCUAUCCUCCUCCCUUCAUCCUUCCCUCAUCUCUCCUACCUCCUUCCUCCACAGGUGUUGGUCAGGGGUUCACCAUGUCAAUCAAGAUGCUGAUGACACGGGUCCAGGAAGAGCAGUCCCACCAGAUGUCCCACAGCAUGGCGCUGGCCUCGCAGAUCAAGAAGAAAACCUUCACCUCUAGGAAUAAGGAUGGGACACCUCUGGGUGCCUAUGGCCAGGCCUGGAACUACAGUCUGAAGAAGAAGUUUGGCCUCAACUCGCUGGAAAUCAGAAGGUGCUCUGUUGAGGAUGCUGGGGAGUUCGAGGUGGUUGCCAAGAGUUCUCUGGGUGAAGCUACUACCAUUGCCACUCUGGUGGUCAACUGUAAAUAGCUGCUGAUUCUGACAACUUUCAUGGACAUGGUAUUCCUGCAUGCAGAUUGCUCCUCUGGCUCACAUUCAAAAUGUUAAAUGGGUAACCAUGUCACAUUUCCCCUUUCCUGUUCCAUACUAGUCCAUACUUGUUUUACUCAUGUGAGACAACCUAAAGGGAUGCUCAUUCAUACUUCUAUGGGAUUUAAAUCAUCGUUCAUCCACACCAAUUAUUUCUAAAUCAUCUUGAUCCAGUUUCCAUCUGUAGUGACGUAUUGCACCUAGAUGACUGGGGUUCUAGACCAUAUCAAUAGCCUACACCUUCAAUCUAAACUGAUUAGUGCAUUACAUGCCAUUACGAGUGAUGAAACGCGUGUAGCCUAGCGCUAAGAGCAUUGGGCCAGUAACUGGAAUGUCGCUGGUGUAACUGAGACUUGUGCGCUGAGAGUCGGGAAGCAAGUUCAGGGAGUGAAUACAUUUAAUUAAUAAAUGUAACAUAAUACAAAACACGAACAAAGCACAGACAUGAAACAGAAACAGAAACAAUGACGCCUGGGGAAGGAACCAAAGGGAGUGACAUAUAGGGCAGAUAAUCAAGGAGGUGAUGGAGUCCAGGUGAGCUGCAUAAUGCGCUGAAGCGCCUAACGAUGGUGACAGGUGUGCGCCAUAACGAGCUGCCUGGUGACCUAGAGGCCGGAGAGGGAG